ensembl:miRNA dre-mir-430a-17 microRNA 430a-17
GUCUCUAUCGGUACCCUCACAAAAGCACUGACUUUGAUGCUGUAUUUGGUAAGUGCUAUUUGUUGGGGUAGUUUUAAGUGAC